rnacentral:rRNA from 1 species
AUUCCAGCUCCAAUAGCGUAUACUAAAGUUGUUGCGAUUAAAAAGCUCGUAGUUGGAUCUCUGGUAUGGGCGCACGGUCCGCCUCGCGGCGGUCACUGUGUGAUUGGUUUCCCAUCCUACGCUUCCCGGUUGUUCAGCCCAUGGUGCUCUUGACUGAGCGUUUUGGGUGGCCGGAACGUUUACUUUGAAGAAAUUAGAGUGCUCAAAGCAGGCGCGUCGCCUGAAUAAGGUUGCAUGGAAUAAUGGAAUAGGACCUCGGUUCUAUUUUGCUGGUUUUCGGAACGUGAGGUAAUGAUUAAGAGGGACAGACGGGGGCAUCCGUAUUGCGGUGUUAGAGGUGAAAUUCUUGGAUCAUCGCAAGACGAACAACUGCGAAAGCAUUUGCCAAGCAUGUUUUCAUUA